rnacentral:rRNA from 1 species
UACGUAGGGUGCGAGCGUUAAUCGGAAUUACUGGGCGUAAAGCGUGCGCAGGCGGUUUUGUAAGCCAGAUGGGAAAUCCCCGGGCUCAACCUGGGAAUGGCAUUUGGGACUGCAAGGCUGGAGUACGGCAGAGGAGACUGGAAUUCCUGGUGUAGCAGUGAAAUGCGUGGAUAUCAGGAGGAAUACCGAUGGCGAAGGCAGGUCUCUGGGCUGAUACUGACGCUCAUGCACGAAAGCGUGGGGAGCAAACAGG